rnacentral:rRNA from 1 species
UACGGGGGGAGCGAGCGUUAUUCGGAAUGACUGGGCGUAAAGGGUAUGUAGGUGGUCUAUGAGGUCGACGGUUAAAGACCAGAGCUUAACUCUGGAAAUGCCGUCCUAACCUAUAUGACUAGAGUAUGAGAGAGGAUAGUAGAAUUUCUAGUGUAGGGAUGAAAUAUGAAAAGAUUAGAAGGAAUACCUAAGGCGAAGGCAACUAUCUGGAUCAAUACUGACACUGAGGUACGAAAGUAUGGGGAGCAAACAGG